AACACUCAGCUCCAGUCUUUCUAGGGCAUCCUGUUGCAAACUGACACAGGAAUACUGGGUGGAUGAAGAACUGGCUGGAUAGCCUCACACAAAGGCUUGUGGUCAGUGGUUCCUUGUACAUGUAGAGGCCAGUGACAAGUGGUGUCCCUCAGGGGUUGGUACUGGGGACAAUACUGUUCAAUGUCUCUGGUGGGGUUGAGUGCACCCUCAGGAAGUUUGCUGACAGCACCAAGGUCUGAUGUUAUUCCUGGGCAGCUCUUUGUGGAUUUAUGUAAUUACAGAUCUCUACCUUUCAUACAGAAGGCACAGUGGAAAAACUUUUGCUGAAGCAACUUCUAUACCAAUUGCUCUCUAACUCUGGACUCUAUUCCAUGAUGAGCAAGAAAGGAAUUAAAAUUUCUGAAGAGGAACUUGUUUAAAGGAAAAUCCAUAGAUAGCAGUGGGGAGUUGGGAUUUGAUAAAACCAGGAGAAGACUCAGUCUCCUUUGAUGAGAGGACACAAAGUUAUUGAAGAUAAUGUUAAUAAAACUAGUGGGGUAAUAUAGAGAAUAGCACAGAAGCAGAUCAGCCACAGGAGAAGAAAACUUAGAAUCAACUCUGCCACCAAGGUUGUGAUGGAAGUGAAGAAACCUGUCGAAUAUAUGGAGAGCAUCAGGAAGUGUGAAUAUUUUCUUGUCCCAGCUGCCCAUAAAUGUCUUUCAGACAAAGAUUUACAUUAAAUGAAUCUAAUACCCCAAAGUUAGAUGGAUAGAAUAGACAGAGAAGUAAUUAGAGACACCCAAAGAAUGAAGAAUUGGCAGCCAAAGAAUAAUAAUGCAAUGGAUGAUGUUUGCUUUAUAGAGAGAGCAGAAGAUCAGAAAGGUUUAAAGCAAAUUCUUAUAAACUAUGGAAAUCUGUCAAUUAAAAUAGUGUGAGUAGCUGGAAAUGUUGCAGACUGCUUUGGAGAAGAAUGUUUGUUUGCUGCCUAAUAAAAUAACCU